rnacentral:rRNA from 1 species
UACGAAGGGGGCGAGCGUUGUUCGGAUUUACUGGGCGUAAAGGGCGCGCAGGCGGCUCAUUUUGUCAGGCGUGAAAGCCCCGGGCUUAACCUGGGAACUGCGUUUGAUACGGAUGGGCUAGAGUUUGGGAGAGGGAUGCGGAAUUCCAGGUGUAGCGGUGAAAUGCGUAGAUAUCUGGAGGAACACCGGUGGCGAAGGCGGCAUCCUGGACCAACACUGACACUGAGGAGCGAAAGCCAGGGGAGCAAACGGG